rnacentral:rRNA from 1 species
AUUGAACGCUGGCGGCAGGCCUAACACAUGCAAGUCGAGCGAGCGGCGGACGGGUGAGUAAUGUCUGGGACACUGCCUGCUGGAGGGGGAUAACUACUGGAAACGGCAGCUAAUACCGCAUACCAUCAGAUGUGCCAAGAUGGGAUUGGCUAGUAGGUGGGGUAACGGCUCACCUAGGCGACGAUCCCUAGCUGGUAUGAGAGGAUGACCCGCCACACUGGAACGGAGACACGGUCCAGACGCCUACGUGAGGCAGCAGUGGGGAAUAUUGCACAAUGGUAGCAAGCCUGAUGCAGCCAUGCCGCGUGUGUGAAGAAGGCCUUCGGGUUGUAAAGCACUUUCAGCGGGGAGGCGUUACCCGCAGAAGAAGCACCGGCUAACUCCGUGCCAGCAGCCGCGGUAAUUC